CCAAGUGAUGAGUGAAAUGCUGUGCACCAGUCUGAAAGUGCCACACGUACUCGUGGCGCGUUGAAGCAUUAAGUAUAACCCAUAUCUGAUG
rnacentral:snoRNA from 1 species